rnacentral:misc_RNA from 1 species
AAGUCGUAACAAGGUUUCCGUAGGUGAACCUGCGGAAGGAUCAUUACAAAUAAAGCUGGUAGGAAAGUGGGGUCUUGAUCUGUAAGUGGUACGACGCGUAACAGUCCGGCUGCCUUCCCGAAAUGUCUUACAGUGUCCCCCACAGCCUGAAGGCCGAAUUACAAGCCCAUUGAUUAUCUACACUUGUUGCUUUGGGGUGCUCAAGUGCCCCAGAGGAACCCUAACUCUCUUGCAUUUAGUGACGUCUGAGUACUAUAUAAUAUUUAAAAC